rnacentral:rRNA from 1 species
UGGGGAAUUUUGGACAAUGGGCGCAAGCCUGAUCCAGCGACGCCGCGUGGAGGACGAAGGCCUUCGGGUUGUAAACUCCUUUUGGAGGGGAAGAAUAAAUUGACGGUACCCUCAGAAAAAGCCACGGCUAACUACGUGCCAGCAGCCGCGGUAAUACGUAGGUGGCGAGCGUUACUCGGAAUUACUAGGCGUAAAGCGUAUGUAGGUGGUUAGAUAAGUCUAUGGUGAAAUUUCCUGGCUUAACUGGGAAGGGACAUAGAUACUAUCUAGCUUGAGUGUGGGAGGGGGAGACGGAAUUCCUGGUGUAGCGGUGAAAUGCGUAGAUAUCAGGAGGAACACCGAUGGCGAAAGCAGUCUCCUGGCCCAAUACUGACACUGAGGUACGAAAGCUAGGGUAGCAAACA